CGAUGAUGAUGCGGGAAAUAACUGAUAACGUGUAAGAGACGCACGGUAAAAGCUCUCUAUAUGAUUAUCAUCGGCAAAACGGCGGUGAAUUUAAUGUUAUUUUAUUCUGUUACCGUGGUAACCCGUUCUUGGUACACCCGAUCGAAAUGUAUCUAUUACCGCGAUAAGACGAUAGCCAAUCGGAAAAGAGUAUUUCACACGACUUGAAACGACACGACGAGUCGA